rnacentral:rRNA from 2 species
UGGGGAAUAUUGCACAAUGGAGGGAACUCUGAUGCAGCGACGCCGCGUGAACGAAGAAGGCUUUCGAGUCGUAAAGUUCUUUUAUAUGGGAAGAUAAUGACGGUACCAUAAGAAAAAGCCCCGGCUAACUACGUGCCAGCAGCCGCGGUAAUACGUAGGGGGCUAGCGUUGUCCGGAAUCACUGGGCGUAAAGGGUUCGCAGGCGGAAAUGCAAGUCAGGUGUAAAAGGCAGUAGCUUAACUACUGUAAGCAUUUGAAACUGCAUAUCUUGAGAAGAGUAGAGGUAAGUGGAAUUUUUAGUGUAGCGGUGAAAUGCGUAGAUAUAAAAAAGAAUACCGGUGGCGAAGGCGACUUACUGGGCUCAUUCUGACGCUGAGGAACGAAAGCGUGGGUAGCAAACAGG